GUUAUUAGGAGCGAACAAUUAGUAAGCUUCAACUUACUUUUGGAUUCUUCAAUAAAUUCUGUAAAUAUGGGAAUAUUUACUGAUUUAUUAAUUAAUUAAGAUAUUCUUAGAUAUACGGGGCACCAUUCCCCUUUUUCCGGGGAAAAAUUGAAUCCAAAACUCUUAUCAGUCUUUCUUGAAGUUCGUAGAAUCCUUGGAGCAGAGACUUCUCUUCGACACAACAAAGCUACUGGACACAAAAAUCUGAAUUUUAUAACAUUUAAUUAACAAUUUGUCAAAUGAAUAAACAGUGGAAUAGAUGAAUAAUAACCGUGUGAUAUGAUUGAAGAUGGAUGUGUUUGCAUGUGAUGGAGGAUGUAUGAAUGGGGUCCUUUGUUCUCACAAAGGAGUAGUGUGUGUGUGUGUGUGUGUGUGUGUGUGUGUGUGUGUGUGCGUGUGUAUGGAUUCAAAAUGGAGUCUUGAAUACAAGAUGGCUGACCCCUUUGUCUGGCUAAAGUGUGGGUGGCAACUUGCACUUUAACUUCCAAAGCACUUAGAAUCAGUAGUAACUUAACCUUAAAUCACUCAAAACAUUUCAAAAGAUCAUGAAACAACACAAAAGAUUAAUCACAAAUUAAUAUCUUUUAGUUUCAGCCUGGCCAUGACAGAAACCAUUUUAAGAUACCAAACAAUGAUCAAUAAGCAGUUUAUUCUUUCAAAAUGACCCGACGGACGUGUUUGGGACGAAAGAGGAAAACACGAAGCUACUUUUUAAGCAAUAGCGCGGUUUUAUUGCUUAUUCUGGACUAUAGAGUUAACGGAAGAAGAAGGAGAGAGAGAAAGAGAUGAGUUGCUGAUCACCAGAAGAGCGAGGCGUCCCUCCCUCUUUGAUUUGACGGUUCUCCGUGUUUCUCCGCAGCUUUCGGCGUCGUCCGUCGGUUUGAUGCUUUCUCCGUUGUUUGGCGUUCACGAGUGUUUCUCCACGGGCUGGACAGAGACAGCAAAGUUUCUUUCUGUGCUGAGUUAUAACUUACAGCGUGCUUGAUGGAGUUGUUGCUUUCCUCCGCAGUUCUGUGUCCUCAAACAUCAGCUGGAGGGGAGCAGAAACGAGCAGAUCUGAUGGGCUUGCAGUUUAGUUUCCAGCAGUUCCGUGGGCUCAACUUGGGCACUUAGAGCUUCCGCGUGCUCAAGGGAGUCGGAGCGUUGACAAGCGUGUCCUUACCGCCAGGUAUCCUGGGCAAAAGAACGAGGAUUCUUUGUCUCUGCUGAAGAUUUAUGGUCUUAGUUCGCGGGAAAAGCUCCACGGCUUCCCGCACAUGCGCAGAACGUGUUUCUGGUACUAGGCGGUGACAUCAUCCCAAUGCUUCCGUGUGCAAAGCAUCAUGGGAAAUGAAGUUUCUUGGCGCUGAUGUGGUUAUUUGCUUUUCAGAGCAAUUUAAGCACAGUCAUUUUGGAGAAAAUCACUGCAUAGUAAUUUCCUCAUGAGGUCAGACCCUCAACAUUCCCCCUUUUGGUUUCGGGGAUCGCGCCCAAAGCUCGAUCGUCGGAAGCACAGAUGGGUUUGUUCCUCAUGAACGUAGGUCGACUUGAUUGUCGGAAGCACAGGUGGGUUUGUCCCUUAGGACGUUGGUCUCCUUGGACGCCUUUGUCUUUGGUCUUUGUCUUGGAUCCUGGCGCCUUUGGUCUUUGUCUUUGGUCAGGCACAAAGAGGAUAGGAAACGGGAUAGUCCCCAACGCGCAUAACGAGAAGAAGCCACUCACGCAGGUGGUACGCAAUGAUGAUGUCGUCCAUGCGAGAGGUAGUAGUGUAGAAGGAGGAAGGUCGGUGGGCGGUUAACUCCACGAGUGGACACAAAGGCAUCUCACCGCCGGCCAUACAGUUCAGUUUAUGGAGCACGCGGUGAUGUACGAGGUCCAUAGUUCGCAAACGCGCAUUGACCUAUGUGGUCCCAAGAUUCCCCCCUUUUUGGUCCAAAGGGUGGAUCAGGACAGUCUUUGGGCUAAAACAAGGACCAUAAAACUAAGAGGUACUACAAUGUGCUGGUGCGUCAGACAGAGUCAUUGACAGACUGAGCUGGGCCGGCACAUAACCACUAGUUAAUAUGUGACCAAGUAAGAAACAAAAAUACAGAAAACCCAAAAAAAAAAACAUAUAA